rnacentral:rRNA from 1 species
GACGAACGCUGGCGGCGUGCCUAAUACAUGCAAGUCGAGCGCAGGAAACUGACGGAACUCUUCGGAGGGAAGGCAGUGGAAUGAGCGGCGGACGGGUGAGUAACACGUAAGGAACCUGCCUCAAGGAUUGGGAUAACUCCGAGAAAUCGGAGCCAAUACCGGAUAGUUCAACGGACCGCAUGGUCCGCUGAUGAACGGCGCUUCGGCGUCACCUUGAGAUGGCCUUGCGGUGCAUUAGCUAGUUGGUGGGGUAACGGCCCACCAAGGCGACGAGGCAUAGCCGACCUGAGAGGGUGAUCGGCCACACUGGGACUGAGACACGGCCCAGACUCCUACGGGAGGCAGCAGUAGGGAAUCUUCCACAAUGGACGAAAGUCUGAUGGAGCAACGCCGCGUGAGUGAUGAAGGUUUUCGGAUCGUAAAACUCUGUUGUAAGGGAAGAACACGUACGAGAGGGAAUGCUCGUACCUUGACGGUACCUUACGAGAAAGCCACGGCUAACUACGUGCCAGCCGCCGCCGUAA